AGCAGCCGCGGUAAUUCCAGCUCCAAUAGCGUAUAUUAAAGUUGUUGCAGUUAAAAAGCUCGUAGUUGAAUUUCGGGGUCAGUAGAUUGGUCAUGCCACUGGUAUGUACUGGUCUCACUGAUUCCUCCUUCCUGAUGAGCCGUAAUGCCAUUAAUUUGGUGUUGCGAGGAAUCUGGACUGUUACUUUGAAAAAAUUAGAGUGUUUAAAGCAGGCUAACGCUUGAAUACAUUAGCAUGGAAUAAUGAAAUAGGACGUUCGAUCUUAUUUUGUUGGUUUCUAAGAUUGACGUAAUGAUUAAUAGGGAUAGUUGGGGGCAUUAGUAUUCAAUUGUCAGAGGUGAAAUUCUUGGAUUUAUUGAAGACUAACUACUGCGUAAAGCAUUUGCCAAGGAUGUUUUCAUUAAUCAAGAACGAAAGUUAGGGGAUCGAAGACGAUCAGAUACCGUCGUAGUCUUAACCAUAAACUAUGCCGACUAGGGAUCGGAUGAUGUUAAUUUUUAAUGUACUCU
rnacentral:rRNA from 1 species